rnacentral:rRNA from 1 species
UACAGAGGUCCCAAGCGUUGUUCGGAUUCACUGGGCGUAAAGGGUGCGUAGGCGGUGGGGUAAGUUUGAGGUGAAAUCUCCGGGCUCAACCCGGACAAGCCUUGAAUACUAUCCUGCUAGAGGAUCGGAGGGGAGACUGGAAUUCUCGGUGUAGCAGUGAAAUGCGUAGAUAUCGAGAGGAACACCAGUGGCGAAGGCGAGUCUCUGGACGAUACCUGACGCUGAGGCACGAAAGCCAGGGGAGCAAACGGG